rnacentral:lncRNA from 10 species
AAAAGGUCCUGAGAGACCAUCAUAACCACCCUCUUUAUUUUACAGAUACAGCUUCUGAGGAUCACGGGGAUGAAAGGCAUGAACUGGGCUCACACAGCUACUCCUUCCCAUUUAUGAGAGAGCCACAUGACAUCAGCCCAUAGACUGUGGAGAGUAUUCCAGAUCUAUCACAUUCUGCGAUUCUGCGAUUCCCAGAAGGCUGGUCAUGAAAAAAUUCCCUCUUCAGUUUACAUAUAUGGCAGUGGCACUUCUAGAUAUCUGUUGAGGCCUGGAAGGGGCAAAACAAUUCAGGAAGCAGUUGAAGAUAAAGGGGUUUACCAUGGAAGAGAAGAUCCAGGUGCCUUCAUGGAAAUGCUUGUGGUUGAAAAGAGAUGAAGAUGAGGGUCCCUGGAAAGAGGAAGAACCAGCCAGGAAAAUUAUACCAUUAGCAAGACUGGCAUCAGCAAGUAGUUCGCAGUGUUGGUUGUUCUUGGUUUCGCAGGAUUUUAUAGGAGUUCUGAACACUGGGAAGUCCAAGAGCAAGGCAACAACAGAUUCAACAUCUGAUGGACCUUCUCCUAAAAGUCUUAUCUUCUAAGUCUCCUAAGUCUUGGACUUUUCAAGGCCAAAGAUUUAAAGGCCAAGUGGACCAUACGGGAGAUCUAGUUUCCCAUCCAGACAGCCAAGCUCAUGCAUCCCUGGAUUUGGAUGGAUGGUUUCCCAUGGGGCCUUGGACAGAUUGGACCCAGCACUGGCACAGGGUUGACUUGGAGGAAUAAGCUCCUGGAAACCUCAAUUAGCGUUUGGGGUAUGAACAUUAAACAAUACUGAAUCUGGAAACAAUACAUCACACAGCGGGUCCAAGGAAAUAAGCAGAAGGCUGGCAGCAGGCCAGGGCCAGGGGCCAAAUCGCUCCUCAAAGACAAUUCUUCAUGGAGAAAUGACAGCAGGUUUGAGGACAGCAGAAUUUCGCUCUUGUUGCCCAGGGCUGGAGUGCAAUGGUGCAAUCUCGGCUCACCACAACCACUGCCUCCUGGGUUCAAGCGAUUCUCCUGCCUCAGCCUCCUGAGUAGCUGGGAUUACAGGAAGUACAAAAACAUCCUUGCCGUUUGCUGGAAUGAUGUACUGCUGAAGGCAAUGGACACUGGGGUUGUUUGUCCCUAAUCACAAGUGAGCAAUACCAGAUCUAUUAUCUCAGGUUCAGAGAAGUGAGGUGUCUGACCUUCAGACAGGAUUGAAUGCAGAGUAAAAUAAUUCCAAAUAUGGUCUGGGCAUUGCAUGUAAUACAGAGUAAAAGUUAUUGUAAGACACUUUCGCCAGUUUCUGUCACUUGGUUCCUCAAAUGUUUAGUUCAUUCUAAUUACAUAAUCAGCCUUCUGAUUCAAUGAAGACUGAUGGGAUUGCUGACUUGCCACCCUGGAGUUCAGUUGGCAGCAAGUGAGGGAAAAGGUGAACUCUGUAAACAAGGUUUAGAAGCCCUUUUCUUAACUCUUUAUAAAACAGAGAAGAUGAGGAAGGAGAAAGGCACUGUCAUUAAGCUCUUAGCCAGGGAAUUACACAUACACACACGUGUGUGUGUGUGUAUUUCAACUCAAUGUACAAGGACUUCUCAGCCCAUAGCUACUUUGAACACAUUGUUUAUCCCCCAUAGCAUGAAGGACUAAAGGAACCAGAGAUUUCAUAAUCUCUGGCCUGUAACGUUUUUGCUGAAAUAUCUGCUGUUAUUCUAAUGGGGUUUCCUUUAAAGGUGACUAGUCACUCUUCUUUUGCUAAUUAAUUUUUUUUUUCACUUUGACUUUAGACAUUCUGAAUAUAAUAUGCUAUGAUGAAGCACUUUAUGCAAUGUAUAUUCCUGAGGAUUGCUGGGCCUCCUGUAACUAGAUGUCUGACUCUCUUGCUAGAUGUGGAAAGUUUUCAUCAAUUAUUUUCUUAAACAGGUUUUCUAAGCUUUUAAAUAAUCUUUCUUUCCCAUCAGGAAUACCAAUAAUUUCUAAUUUCAGUCACUUUAUGUAGUCCCAGACAUCUCAAAGGCUUUGUGCACUCCCUUUUAUACUUUUUUGUUGUCGUUAUCUUUGUCUUACUGGAUUAUUUCAAAAGACUUAUCUUCAAGUUCUGAGAUUCUUUCUUCUGCUUGAUCUAUUCUGUUAUUGAAGCUUUCAAAUACAUUUUGCAUUUCCUUCAAUAGUUUUUUUAGGUUUAGAUUUUCUGCUUUUGCUUUAUAAGAUACCCAUCUCCUUGAUACAUUUCUCAUUAAUAUCCUGAGUUAAUUUUCUAAUUUCUUGAAGUUGGCCCAAGGGUGGAAUGCAGCCCCGUGUUAAACUCUCAAAACUGUGCCUUGGGCCUGUGACCAGACAGAGCAGAUUUCUUCUCAAGUAAGUAGCAUAGAAAAGAGAGAUCCAAAUAAACACAAUCAUAAAUGAAAAAGGAGACAUUAUAGCUGAUAACACAGAGGCACAAAGAUCAUCAGAGACUAUUAUAAAUAACUAUAUGAUCACAAACC